rnacentral:tRNA from 9 species
GUCGGGAUAGCUCAGCUGGYAGAGCAGAGGACUGAAAAU